rnacentral:rRNA from 2 species
CGGUCAAAGCUAAAAGACGUCCCGCCUGCCCUGUGACUAACAGUUUAACGGCCGCGGUACUUUAACCGUGCAAAGGUAGCGUAAUCACUUGUUUUUUAAAUAAAGACCUGUAUGAAUGGCACCACGAGGGCUAAGCUGUCUCCUUUUUCUAGUCAAUGAAAUUGAUCUGCUUGUGCAGAAGCAAGCAUACUAACAUAAGACGAGAAGACCCUAUGGAGCUUAAGACAAAGGGAUAGACCAAGUUAAAACCCCUGCUAACUUAUCAGGAAAAAACUUAUUGGACCCUACCCAGAUGUCUUUGGUUGGGGCGACCGCGGAGAAACAAAAAACCCCCACGUGGAACGGGCCUUACCCUUAAAACCAGAGCCACAGCCCUAUUUAACAGAAAAUCUGACCAUCAAGAUCCGGCAAAGCCGAUCAACGGACCCAGUUACCCUAGGGAUAACAGCGCAAUCCCCUUCUAGAGAACAUAUCGACUAGGGGGUUUACGACCUCGAUGUUGGAUCAGGACUUCCUAAUGGUGCAACAGCUAUUAAGGGUUCGUUUGUUCAACGAUUAAAGUCCUACGUGAUCUGAGUUUCAGGACCGGGGGAUGG